UACAGAGGGGGCAAGCGUUAUUCGGAAUUAUUGGGCGUAAAGGGCGCGUAGGCGGCCUGGCAAGUGGAAGGUGAAAUCCCUCGGCUUAACCGAGGAACUGCCUCCCAAACUGCUUGGCUUGAGACCGGGAGAGGUGAGUGGAAUUCCCAGUGUAGCGGUGAAAUGCGUAGAUAUUUGGGAGGAACACCAGUGGCGAAGGCGGCUCACUGGACCGGUACUGACGCUGAUGCGCGAAAGCGUGGGAGCAAACGGG
rnacentral:rRNA from 1 species